AGGACGAACGCUGGCGGCGUGCCUAAUACAUGCAAGUCGAACGGUCUUUUCUAUGGAAGCUUGCUUCCACUGAGAAGAUAGUGGCGAACGGGUGAGUAACACGUGGGUAACCUGCCCAUAAGAGGGGGGUAACAUCCGGAAACGGGUGCUAAUACCGCAUAGUUUUCUUGAUCGCAUGAUCGGGAAAGGAAAGACGGCCUUUGUGCUGUCGCUUAUGGAUGGACCCGCGGCGUAUUAGUUAGUUGGUGAGGUAACGGCUCACCAAGACGAUGAUACGUAGCCGACCUGAGAGGGUGAUCGGCCACAUUGGGACUGAGACACGGCCCAAACUCCUACGGGAGGCAGCAGUAGGGAAUCUUCCGCAAUGGACGAAAGUCUGACGGAGCAACGCCGCGUGAGUGAAGAAAGGUUUUCGGAUCGUAAAACUCUGUUGUCAGAGAAGAACAAGUUGGAGAGUAACUGCUCCAGCCUUGACGGUAUCUGACCAGAAAGCCACGGCUAACUACGUGCCAGCAGCCGC
rnacentral:rRNA from 1 species